rnacentral:rRNA from 1 species
GACGAACGCUGGCGGCGUGCUUAACACAUGCAAGUCGAACGCAUCCUUCGGGGUGAGUGGCAGACGAGUGAGUAACGCGUGGGAACGUGCCCUUCAGUUCGGGAUAACCCAGGGAAACUUGGGCUAAUACCGGAUACGUGCGAGAGCAGAAAGAUUUAUCGCUGAAGGAUCGGCCCGCGUCUGAUUAGCUAGUUGGUGGGUAAUGGCCCACCAAGGCGACGAUCAGUAGCUGGUCUGAGAGGAUGAUCAGCCACAUUGGGACUGGGACACGGCCCAAACUCCUACGGGAGGCAGCAGUGGGGAAUAUUGGACAAUGGGCGCAAGCCUGAUCCAGCCAUGCCGCGUGAGUGAUGAAGGCCUUAGGGUUGUAAAGCUCUUUCGUCCGGGACGAUAAUGACGGUACCGGAAGAAGAAGCCCCGGCUAACUUCGUGCCAGCAGCCGCCGUAA